AGAGGUGAAAACCCAUCAGAAUAUUUCCCUUGCACAUGGCAACCUGUGCUCUCUGGGAUGAUCUCCACAAGGGGUGUUUGAGCCAAGUUUUUUAAGAAUGCCACGGGUCCCAGCUCCUCUCUCUCUGGAACCACCGUUGCCAGAGCCACAGAGAGAGGCUCCAUGGUUUAAGGAGAUUGAGGUGGUAUUUUUGCAGUGCAUUGCCUCUAUCUGUUCACCUGACCUCAUAGUCUACUUCCCCAACUCGCUGUGUGACCUCAAAGGGCCCUUGCCAUGUGAGUAAUUUAGAGUUUGACCUGGGAAGAACUUUUAUCUCCUGGUGUGAAUUCCCCUAGCCAAGCUCCCCUUUUAUACACUUAGGACUCCUGUUCCUGGGCAUGACACAAAUUCUCCUGUGUUAGGUGACUUAAGACAUAGAGUUUUGCUCUCAGGUCUAGAACAUACUGAAUCUUGUACUGCACAUAACGCAGUAUCUGCAGUUGCAUAACGGGUGUCCCAUUGCAUAAUUAUGAAUUAUAAUCCACCAGGACUAACACAAAGUGAUACCCUCAUGUGCACCACUCUAAUGGCCCAAUGCCAAUUCUUUUGAAGGGGACCUUGAUUAAGGGUAAUGGGUGCAAUAGUGCUUUUGGGGUGGAUGACAUAUUCACCAGCUGACAUUUGUGGUAUGCCACAUGCCAUUAGAUGGUUGCCUAUUUUAUUCUGUCCUAGGUGGCCUACCAUGGGAGUAUAAUGAGCUGCAUUGAAAAGCAUUUACCUGUGGCUUUUUGGAACCAAUCAUUGAGGGGUCUCUUCUUUUGCAUAAGUGUUCUGCAUCACUUGAUAUAACUUAUUCUUGAAGAUUGAAAAAUAUGGUGAGUGUCUGGCUGGAUUAUCUGACCUCAAUUACUCUCACUUGGUGAAAGGCAUAGUGAAGUGACUUGUCACACCGGAACAUUUUAAGAAGAAGAAGACUUUGUUACAUAUACUUUACAGCACAGUGGAAUUAUUUUCUUUCCAUAUCCCAGCUUGUUAGGAGGUUGGGGUCAGAGUGCACAGUCAGCCGUGAUACAGCAGCCCUGGAGCAGAGAGAGUUAAGGGCCUUGCUCAGGAGCCCAACAGAGGCAGCGCUGAGGCUUGAACCCCCAAACUUCUGCUCAGUAACCAGAACGUUAACCAUUGAGCCACCACUGUCCUUAAAUGAAAACCUGCCCCCUUACUAAAGCCUCUCCCUGGAAAUUUAUUAAUAUGGGUACCAGCAGAUAUUCAUGAAUAUCCCAUUGCACACACCUCACCUUCACUAAUUGUGCAUUUCCCAAUUCCUUGCCUUGAAUCAGGCUUUGGUGCACUGAGGUCUGAUUAUAUCCUGAGUCCACCAAGGCCUGAUAUAUACUCCUUUGGAUACCCACUCAUAUGUGGUACAUUCCUGCUCAAUUAGGGAGGCCUGAGGGAGGCCACCAUCCUGAGGAAACACUGAUCCUUGAAAUGCUUGGAUUCCCUGCAGUGCCAACAAACCUGCCUGGGAGAGAUAGAGAGAGAGAGAGAGAGAGAGAGAGAGAGAGAAACAAGGGAUGCCUGGACCAGGGACUGCUGCCAGAUGAUCCUUUGCCAACUGAACAGCUUUGUCUAGGGACGCGGGCCGGUGGCACUAGACCCACUCUGCUGUUCCUGUAGGAAGUGGAGCGAUGAACUGCUCCAGUACCACUAGCUCAAUGAACAGUUCCACAUCCUGCUCCUCUGCCAUCAAGCACCGACAGCAGGAGUCCUUCAGCUGCUGCAUGUAGAUGAAGCCGACCUUGGUGAGCUGCAGCGACUGGAAGUGCCAGGCUGACCCGCUGCAGGACUACCCUCUUGAGGUUCAGAUACUCCAGCUGUGCCUGUGAUGGCAGCUGCUGGAUGGCAAGCUGGGCUUUCUCUGAUAGGGGAGGAAUCACAGAGCCCAUUCAUCCUCCGGCCAUUCCCGCACACUUGGAAAAAGUCAAUGAAGGCCUCCAGAUCAUCAGUUGAGGCCAUCUUGGUGAACUCCAUGUGUGGGAUGGUGGCAGGGGACACAGCUGGAGAGGUGUGGGAAACUGGAGCAGCUUCUGGUGUGCCCCCUGGUUCUUGGCCUGCUCCUUAGCGAGGGUUUCAAAGCAUAGGUGCUGCUCAUUGCGUAAGUCGAGGAGAUCUUGGUGUUGGGUUUCAUGGAAGCUGGUGAAGGGGCUUUAUGAUUUUGCAGAGUGGGGUGGCUUCCAUGGCAGUGUCUGAGUCCUCUUGGGUCCCGGGUUUCGGGACACUACUGUACAACCUGGUGUGUAUGCGUGUGGAGGAAGACUCCAGGGGCAGGUAGAAUUUCAGCAGAGCUCUAGGCUUGUGUUUAUUUGCGGACUUUCAAAACCUCAGUCCAAAAACAAACAAACUGAAAAGGGGCCGUCAUCAGCUUGUGGCUUUUGCCCCAUUCAAGUUAAAGGUUCAAGUUCAUGCUCUGUGUGUGUGUGUUGCACGGUCUACCAGCUAUGCCAUCUAUCCACUCUGCUGCUAUGAAGACAAGCAGAGUGAGCUGAUCAGGCUACAGAGAUGGAGAGACAAAAUAUAGAAGCAACAGCUGCAGCAACAACAGCGCCAGCAGCAGCAAGAGGAAAGGAGCAGGAACCUGGCCAGGAGAGGCCCUGGUCGGCCCCGGAAGAGCAAACAUGGCCUGUGUGCUCUGUCUCCACCUUCAGGCAAGCAGGAUGCCAAGUGUGGAAAGAACAAGAGGAACAAGAUACUGAGGAACAAAAGUGAGCUCCAAACUAAUGGAUGUAUAUAUGGGUGAAUGUCAUAACAGGGGUUCAAAAGUGAAGCCAAAAUGUCUCUGAUCAUGUUAGUAAAUGGAAAACAAGCCAAACUUGCAAUUUGUUUCCCCCACGAUUUUCUCCCUAAUGUAGUCAUGGCCAAGUCCCGCCCAUCAGGCAUCUCUCCACUGUCACACAACAGCUACCAACCAGGGAGGAUGAAGUCUAAGUGUACUGUACUGUAGCUUGGUAGGGUUAGCGAAUCACUCCUUUUAAAUGAACUCCAUCACUAGAAUGAGUGAUGCAUAAAAGAACACACUUCUCCAUUCAGAUGUGUAACUUACUGCAAGUGUCAGAUCUAGAUGAAAAUCAUGGAGAGCAGUGAUUUUUUUUCUUGAAAAAAAAAAAAAAAGGUUGUGUUGAGUGUAAAUGUUGAUUGCUGUUUAGCAGUAUAUUUUCAGUUGGUAUAUUACAUUAGAGACUUACACUGAACAGCCAUAACAUUAAAGCCACUUGGUUAAUAUUGUGUAGGUCCCCCUUGUGCUGCCAAACAACUCUGGGGCUUUCAUGGAUCGGACCUGUUUGUUCAGCAAAUCCCACAGAUGCUCCCACAGAUUGUAUUGAGAUCUGGGGAAUUUGAGGCAAAAUAAAACACCUUUGAACCCUUAGUCAAGCUCCUCAAACCAUUCCUGAACAAUUUUUGGAGUCUGGCAAUGUGCAUUAUCUUGCUGAAAGAGGCCACUGCCAUUAGGGAAUACCGUUGCCAUGAAGGGGUGUACUUGGUCAGUAACAAUGUUUAGGUAGGUGGUACGUGUCAAAGUAACAUCCACAUGAAUGCCAGGACCCAAAGUUUCCCAGCAGAACAUUGCCCAGAGCAUCACACUGCCUCUACUGGCGUGCUUUCUUCCAUAGUGCAUCCUGGUGCCAUCUCUUCCCCAGGUAAGCGAUGCACAUGCACCCAGCCAUCCACAUGAUGUAAAAGAAUAAAUUUUGAAUGUAUUUAUUUCUGUAAAGCUGCUUUGUGACAAUGUCCAUUGUUAAAAGCACUAUACAAAUAAAAUUGAAUUGAACUGGAUUGAAAAGAAAAUGUGAUUCAUCAGUCCAGGCCACCUUCUUUCCACCUUCCAUUGCUCCACGGUCCAGUUCUGAUGCUCAUGUGCUCAUUGUAGGUGAUUUUGGCAGUGGACAGGAGUCAGCAUGGGUACUCUGUGCAAUGUGACAGCUUUCUAUCAUAGCCAGCAUUAACUUUUUUUUUUUUAGCAAUUUGUGCUACAGUAGCUCUUCUGUGGGAUCGGACCAGAUGGACUAGCCUUCGCUCCCCACGUGCAUCAGUGAGCCUUGGGCACCCAUGACCCUGUUGCCGGUUCACCGGUUGUCCUUCAUUGGACCACUUUUGACUCUGGAUCCACUAUGAUUCUGACCAGGAUAAUGUGGUUACUGAAGAUGAAGAGUGGUAAAUUGUAAGGCAAGGAUGGUACACCUACUAAAGUUAUGAAGAAUGUGAAAGCUGACAUUUUUUUAUGCAUCAAAGGGCCUUUUCCCCAUCUGAACCUUUUUCAACAUAAAACUAUAGAUUGUUAUUUAUUGCUAUUUCUUUGAGCAAUGGCAUAAAAAUCAUAAUGUUAUUUAUAAUAUACCAUUUUUUGCACAUGCCUUUUCUGAAAAUGAGAAUCCUAGACUGUGUUGGUGUGCAGAUAAGGUGAGGCGUAACACAUUUAGCUGAGGCGUAAAUCCCUUCACCCUUCUUAUUAACACAUGUCAGUAACAAUGGGCAGUUUUAUGGGUCCUUACCUUUAGAAAUCUCUUUUCUCCUGUGAUCAAAGUGGAGCCCAUGAAAGCCUUCCCUCAGAGGAUUCUUCACAUCCUUUAGUUUAAUAGUGCCUUGAAGAUGAUGAAAGAAUGUCUGAAUCUCUACUAGAUACACCUCAUUCUUAAACAUUUCCCAAGGUUGUGUAUAGCCUACAGAUACAGUUGACUACAGUUACAGGGAAUAUGCAACUUGAAUGAAUGCUUUAAUCUGCUUUAGUCAACUUUAGUAAGAACACUCAGUACUCAGGGAUCCGCUAAUCUGCUUUGGAACAUGCAUGUUGGCAUAAAGGUGUUCUUUUUCAUUUAGAGCCAUAAACAAAUCACCAUAUGCUGGACUGCAAUUCUCAGCUUAAGUUUAUUCACCAAAAAGAGCUUUAGCACGCUUGCUGCGCAUAGUCGGAGUAACAAAAUCAAAAUACAUCCUUCCAAAAAAUUGACAAAGCAGUGCAUGUCAAAAAUAUUUUUAAAAAAAAUCUUUCCUUGGGGUCAUUCAGAGCCACUUCCUCUGUGGCUUUUUUUAUUUUUUUGAAAACUAAACCAUACAUGAUUUGGCCAUUACCCACUGGAACUAGCUCCAAGGAGUGGUGAUUACAAGAUUACAUUAGUCACAAAUCACAAAUAUUUAAUUCUGAGUGUAUUUUUGAUGGGGUGGCUGUCAUGGCUACUAUCCUUUCACUGCUUCCAAUAUGUAUACAAGUGUAAGUAUGUAAUUUGGUUCAGGUAAAACCACCUGCUGAGUUAACAAAUUGUAUGAUUUUAAGUGCUUCAGCUGUGCAGAAAUUGUGUGAAGGUGUCUCAUUAAUCUUUUCAGAAUACACAUAGAAGCACAUGUAUAUUAAUAAACAUGGAUACACUAUCAGCUCAAAUACACUCUGGUAACACUCAUAUGAAUAUUAAUCACAUCAUGGUUUCACUCUACAUGUUCUGCAGAUUAAGUAUCAUUCCUCAACAUAGAUAGUCUUUUGUAGUGGUGGCAAGAAUUCAGACAUCUGAAGCAUGCGCAAUAGCAUGUACUUAGAUUUUAGCAUGUACUUAGAACUAUUGUACACACAUUUUAUAGUAUGAACAUGCAUUCUUUAGCUUAGAAUUAAGCAUGUAUCUGCUUACUGAAAAGAAAUAUUUGUUAUUAAAUUAAAUAAAGUUUUAUUAAAUUAAUAACUAGCUACAAAAACGUGUAAAUAAUGAGCUUUUUUCCAACCUAUUACCAAGAUGUGUUUAUCUAUACAUGCAAACAAAAAACAAAAAAGCGUGGUAAUGAUUUCUCAAUUAUAUAGUUAUGCCAAAAAAACUAUGGAAAUGUGGAUUUAUGCAUAGCAAGGAAAAUGCGAGGUGGUAUGAUAUUGUGAAUAUAGACGCAGAAUGUAAGUGUGAUAGAAAGACUAAUGCUUCACUCAGUGUCUCCACGAGAGGCCAUGUUGUUAUUACACUGCUUUCAAUCAAAAUCACUACAGAGCAAUAAAAUGCAGCAUAUGAUUACUACAACAAUAGAUCCUCAGCAACAACAGUCUCUCGCUAGACUUUUUUUACUUCACAGAACAUCCUGUUUGGCAGCGCUGAUACACAGGAGGGAAACAGCACAUCAAAUAACCUUUGAUCUGUCUACACUAAAGCUCAGGAGUAAUGUGUGUAUUAGAGCAGAUAGAUUACAUAG